AAAGCCCUGUUUUCUAGGACGAUAAUGACGGUACUAGAGGAGGAAGCCACGGCUAACUACGUGCCAGCAGCCGCGGUAAUACGUAGGUGGCGAGCGUUGUCCGGAUUUACUGGGCGUAAAGGGUGCGUAGGCGGAUGUUUAAGUGGGAUGUGAAAUCCCCGGGCUUAACCUGGGGGCUGCAUUCCAAACUGGAUAUCUAGAGUGCAGGAGAGGAAAGCGGAAUUCCUAGUGUAGCGGUGAAAUGCGUAGAGAUUAGGAAGAACACCAGUGGCGAAGGCGGCUUUCUGGACUGUAACUGACGCUGAGGCACGAAAGCGUGGGUAGCAAACAGGAUUAGAUACCCUGGUAGUCCACGCCGUAAACGAUGGAUACUAGGUGUAGGGGGUAUCAACUCCCCCUGUGCCGCAGUUAACACAAUAAGUAUCCCGCCUGGGGAGUACGGUCGCAAGAUUAAAACUCAAAGGAAUUGACGGGGGCCCGCACAAGCAGCGGAGCAUGUGGUUUAAUUCGAAGCAACGCGAAGAACCUUACCUGGACUUGACAUCCCUUGCAUAGCCUAGAGAUAGG
rnacentral:rRNA from 1 species